UGGGGGAUAUUGCACAAUGGGCGAAAGCCUGAUGCAGCGACGCCGCGUGGGGGAUGAAGGCUUUCGGGUUGUAAACCUCUUUCGCUAUCGAACAAGGCCCGCUUAGGGUGGGUUGAGGGUAGGUGGAGAAGAAGCGCCGGCUAACUACGUGCCAGCAGCCGCGGUAAUACGUAGGGCGCGAGCGUUGUCCGGAAUUAUUGGGCGUAAAGGGCUUGUAGGCGGCUUGUUGCGCCUGCUGUGAAAACGCGGGGCUUAACUUCGCGCGUGCAGUGGGUACGGGCAGGCUUGAGUGUGGUAGGGGUGACUGGAAUUCCAGGUGUAGCGGUUGAAUGCGCAGAUAUCUGGAGGAACACCGAUGGCGAAGGCAGGUCACUGGGCCAUUACUGACGCUGAGGAGCGAAAGCAUGGGUAGCGAACAGG
rnacentral:rRNA from 1 species